CAGCAGCCACGGUAAUACGUAGGUGGCAAGCGUUGUCCGGAAUUAUUGGGCGUAAAGGGCUCGCAGGCGGUUUCUUAAGUCUGAUGUGAAAGCCCCCGGCUCAACCGGGGAGGGUCAUUGGAAACUGGGAAACUUGAGUGCAGAAGGGGAGAGUGGAAUUCCACGUGUAGCGGUGAAAUGCGUAGAGAUGUGGAGGAACACCAGUGGCGAAGGCGACUCUCUGGUCUGUAACUGACGCUGAGGAGCGAAAGCGUGGGGAGCGAACAGGAUUAGAGACCCGUGUAGUCCCUGUCUCUUAUAC
rnacentral:rRNA from 1 species